CAGCAGCCACGGGAAUACAGAGGGUGCGAGCGUUUAUCGGAUUUACUGGGCGUAAAGCGUGCGUAGGCGGCUUCUUAAGUCGGAUGUGAAAUCACUGAGCUUAACUUAGGAAUUGCAUUCGAUACUGGGAAGCUAGAGUAUGGGAGAGGAUGGUAGAAUUCCAGGUGUAGCGGUGAAAUGCGUAGAGAUCUGGAGGAAUACCGAUGGCGAAGGCAGCCAUCUGGCCUAAUACUGACGCUGAGGUACGAAAGCAUGGGGAGCAAACAGGAUUAGAUACCCCUGUAGUCCCUGUCUCUUAUAC
rnacentral:rRNA from 1 species